AUUGGGAUUUUCUAUUAAGUUAAGUAUUGCCUUCUUUCAGUUGAUAGUGCUACAUAAAUCCCAUCUCUUUCUCUGUUGACUUGGCCCUAUAUGUGACUUUUGCAUCCCUAAGUCUAUUUUGUUUUGUGUCACUGAAUGGUGGACAGAAAGAAUACAAAUUGCAGAAACAAAAUUCAACUGCGGUAGAUAUUUACUUUUUACUGGUGUAUGACAACUACAUCAUCCUCAACAGUUGUCCACUACCAGAAGGAAGUUUCUAUCAAAUGUUCACUACAACGACAAUGAAAGAUAAAAAUCUAACAAAGAAUUUAAUGGCAUGAAGUAAGUCCCAGUAGCCGUGAACUGGUCUUAACUACUUUCUAUUUUAAUAACACAGGGAUAUGUGAAUGAAUCUAUCACAAUUUAUCUUAGUAUGUUAUAAGCAGAAAAUAGAUGCACACUUGUGAGCUUGCAAAUAGAGACACCUUAAGAAGCUAGGCCCCAACAAAUAGUCCAACAGCUAAAGGUACCAAAAUGGCAUCUUGAAAAUUUAUUCUUAUAGCAUUUCGAAUAAUUUUGCAUAAAUAAUAAUAGGUUACUUACUAUUGCUAACUUGGUGUUCAUAUUUAGCUAAACAUAGUAGAACUACCUGGUUACAAAAUAAAAAACAGUGAUUCUAGUAAAGGAUUUGAAAUUUUCUCAUCUAAACAAGAAGAUCCAGAUGAUGGAAAAAGAAGGAAACUGGAUUUUUACCUGCUAGAAGUAGAGGAAACAAAGUUGAAAUGAGCUUCAAUUCUAGAUGUUACCUGGGAUAUAGAAGGAGAGCAAAUGAAUUAAAUAUCACGGAUUUACGUCCCCAUCAAAUACAUGAAGGGAGGAUCAUCCUCCAAGGAGUACGUUCAAGAUUUUUGUAGUUGGCAAAAAUUGGAUGCUUAGGAUCUUUCAUAUACAACAUGAUACUUUUUUUUACAUGUUCAACUAAAGCACAUUUGCACUCUGUACAUAAAGCGAUAUUAUCACAUAUUUUCCACACAUGCUUUUGGACACUUCAAUGCAA